UAAAACCUGUAAGAAUUCACUCACAUCAUCCGAAUGCAACUCA
rnacentral:tRNA from 2 species